ensembl:snoRNA
GCAAGGCUGAAUAUUGUGUUCCUUCAUCAGUAGUUUACACAGCCAGACACCAUGCAAAAGCAGACUUCCCUUUAAAAUGAUGAUAUGCUAAGAUGUUUCCUAGCAUAUCAUUAUUAGAGGUAAACACAAGU